rnacentral:rRNA from 1 species
GAUGAACGCUGGCGGCAUGCCUAGUACAUGCAAGUCGAACGAGAGGAAGGAAAGCUUGCUUUUCUGAAUCUAGUGGCGAACGGGUGAGUAACACGUAGGUAACCUGCCCAUGUGCCCGGGAUAACUUCUGGAAACGGAUGCUAAAACCGGAUAGGUAGCAGACAAGCAUUUGACUGCUAUUAAAGUGGCUAAGGCCAUGAACAUGGAUGGACCUGCGGUGCAUUAGCGAGUUGGUGAGGUAACGGCCCACCAAGGCGACGAUGCAUAGCCGGCCUGAGAGGGCGGACGGCCACAUUGGGACUGAGACACGGCCCAAACUCCUACGGGAGGCAGCAGUAGGGAAUUUUCGUCAAUGGGGGGAACCCUGAACGAGCAAUGCCGCGUGAGUGAGGAAGGUCUUCGGAUCGUAAAGCUCUGUUGUAAGAGAAAAACGACAUUCAUAGGGAAUGAUGAGUGAGUGAUGGUAUCUUACCAGAAAGUCACGGCUAACUCCGUGCCAGCAGCCGCAGUAA